rnacentral:rRNA from 1 species
UACGGAGGGUGCAAGCGUUAUCCGGAUUCACUGGGUUUAAAGGGUGCGUAGGUGGGUUGAUAAGUCAGUGGUGAAGUCCCCGAGCUUAACUUGGGAACUGCCAUUGAUACUAUUGAUCUUGAAUACCGUGGAGGUCAGCGGAAUAUGUCAUGUAGCGGUGAAAUGCUUAGAUAUGACAUAGAACACCAAUUGCGAAGGCAGCUGGCUACGCGAAUAUUGACACUGAUGCACGAAAGCGUGGGGAUCAAACAGG